AAGAGCACACUCCUUUGAUUUAGUUUCGACACUUUAAUCAUACUAGGUUGUGUGCUUUUUGUGU
rnacentral:ncRNA from 1 species